UCAAAUUGCAAUUCGCUGCGUUUUGAACGUUCGAAACCGGAGCGUCCGAAAACGUAGGUGGGUGAGAAACGCUGCGUUUUGAACGAGGUCUCGGAAAUUCAAACCCCUACAUCGAACAGAUUUUCGCCGCUCAGAUUUAUUUCUGUCACUCGGUUUAUUCCGGAGACUGGGUUAUCGAAUCACGAACAGCUCGGUGAUUCCAAAAAUGGAAUCUGGAUCGAAGGAGGCUGAAGUAAACAAUCUCGAGAAGCAAUGGUCACUGGAUGAUUUCGAGAUCGGGAAACCCCUCGGCAAAGGCAAGUUCGGCAGAGUCUAUCUGGCCCGAGAAGUCAAGAGUAAAUAUGUGGUGGCUCUGAAGGUGAUAUUCAAGGAACAGAUAGAGAAGUACAGAAUUCAUCAUCAGCUAAGGAGAGAGAUGGAGAUCCAGACAAAACUGCACCACCCCAAUAUUCUGCGUCUCUACGGUUGGUUCCAUGACAGUGAGCGCAUUUUCUUGAUUCUCGAGUAUGCUCAUGGCGGUGAGCUCUAUGGCCUCCUUAAAAAGAACGGUCAUCUCAAUGAAAAACAAGCCGCCACGUAUAUUGCAAGUCUCACUCAGGCACUGGCUUAUUGUCACGGAAAAUGUGUGAUUCACAGAGACAUCAAGCCUGAAAACUUGUUGCUUGAUCAUGAGGGUAGGUUGAAAAUCGCCGACUUUGGAUGGUCUGUACAGUCUAGUAGCAAGAGAAAAACAAUGUGUGGAACGUUGGAUUACUUGGCGCCUGAAAUGGUGGAAAACAGAGACCAUGAUUAUGCUGUUGAUAACUGGACUUUAGGCGUACUGUGUUAUGAGUUUCUCUAUGGUAACCCUCCGUUCGAGGCAGAGAGUCAAAAAGAUACAUUCAAGAGGAUUGUUAGGGUUGACCUGAGUUUUCCUUUGACGCCUUAUGUUUCUGCGGAAGCCAAAAAUCUCAUCAGUCAGCUUCUUAUGAAGGAUCCCUCAAAGCGGCUCUCUCUCCAGAAGAUCAUGCAGCAUCCUUGGAUCGUCAAGAACGCAGAUCCCAAGGGAAUGUGCAGCAAGUAAAAGCUUCUGAGCCCUGAUGCUAGUUUCCCAAUCUCAGGACAAAUAGCAUAUCUUUUCAAUCCACUGUCUCCACAUUGUAAUGAUGCAUAUAGAAAGGGACCCUGUAGGUCCAACCAUUGAAUUUAUCUGUCUCUGUGAUCGACUAUUUUUUACGAACCCGAAACACAUCUAAACACCCAAACACGCUGACAAGUCAUCGUUGCCUUCACCCCUUAAAGCUGUAUCAGUAAUGGUGGUGUCGGUACUGCAACUGCAAUUGCUCUUUCCAUCACAACCUUGGCUAAGGUAAUUUGCAGGGACCGACAUAGAGAGUUCUGGUAUUCAGUUUGGCAUUAUCAUCUCUGUCUUUGCAAGCUGCAGAUCCUGCAUUUGCAAUCGUGGAGUACGGAACAGAAGAGGUAUUAACUUCUGCAUUGGUAUGCACGUGUUUAGGACAGUAUUUCUGAAAAGGUAAUGCAUCUUUCCGUCAUCUCCACUUCUUUCCAUCUGUUCUUCGACACCUUCCUGGUUCAUUUUCUUUUUCAGCUCUAUUUAAUGGAAACCCACCAAGAGGAAGCAACUCGACAGUGAGAGGAGGCACAUGAGCUAAAGAUCAAGAAAAGACAAUCUCAAAUGGAUUACAUAUGUCUGAAACUCAUGUUGUAGAGCAACUCACAAUCUCAAAUGGAUUGCAGUCGACAAGUCUGCUUCUUGCGCUUAUAUCUUUCUUGUUGCUGCCUAAGAACUUCGCAGCUUCAUCAAGUGAAGGGCUAUAACCAGAUACCUCAGUGCCACGGCACACAUGCUCGGGAAAGCGCCUGCAGAUGAAGAGGCCAUCCUCGCCUGACCAACGCUGCUUUCCACUCGUCUCUGGGUGCCUUCCUGCUUUAUAAUUCGGCUCACUCCGCAUUAGAAAAACAAAAGCUCAGUGACCACCGGCUCCACGACGCGCCCACGCUUCUCUCUUUGUGAGUCCAACUUGGGCCCAUUCUAGGCCCAUUAUGUGAUUUUAAUUUGGACCAAUUUCUUCUACAUGAGUCAUAUUUUGCCAUCAUGUUCGCUAGUUGUGUAUAUGGGAUUCGAUGUUACAAUUUACAACGUACAAGAUUCUGUUGGUCGCGUCAAAUAUUAAAUACAAUAAGUCCGAGUUAUGGCCAUGAGGAUUGUUAAAUUGU